rnacentral:rRNA from 1 species
AGCAUAUGCUUGUCUCAAAGAUUAAGCCAUGCAUGUCUAAAUACGAGCCCUCUACGGGCGAAACCGCGAAUGGCUCAAUAAAUCAGUUAUGGUUCCCUAGAAAAAUCAAUCCUACUUGGAUAACUGUGGUAAUCCUAGAGCUAAUACGCGACCGAAACUCCGACGCGGUGCAAACCGCGAAAGAGCGCUUUUAUUAGAUCAAAACCAGUCGGGGGCUCCGGCCCCUGUACUCUUUGGUGACUCUGGAUAACUUCAUGCGGAUCGCACGGCCUCCGCGCCGGCGACGCUUCUUUCAAAUGUCUGCCUUAUCAACUGUCGAUGGUAGGUUAUGCGCCUACCAUGGUUGCAACGGGUAACGGGGAAUCGGGGUUCGAUUCCGGAGAGGGAGCCUGAGAAACGGCUACCACAUCCAAGGAAGGCAGCAGGCGCGCAAAUUACCCACUCCCGGCACGGGGAGGUAGUGACGAAAAAUAACGAUACGGGACUCUUCCGAGGCCCCGUGAUUGGAAUGAGUACACUUUAAAUCCUUUAACGAGGAACCAU